AUUGAACGCUGGCGGCAGGCUUAACACAUGCAAGUCGAGCGAGCGGCGGCCGGGUGAGUAAUGUCUGGGAAACUGCCUGAUGGAGGGGGCUAACUCCUGGAAACGGUAUCUAAUACCGCAUACCCUCAGAUGUUCCCCGAUGGGAUUAGCUAGUGGGUGGGGUAAUGGGUCACCUAGGCGACGAUCCCUAGCUGGUCGGAGAGGAUGACGAGGCACACUGGAACUGAGAGACGGGCCAGACGGCGACGGGAGGCAGCAGUGGGGAAUAUUGCACAAUGGGCGCAAGCAUGAUGAAGCCAUGCCGCGUGUGUGAAGAAGGCCUUCGGGGUGUAAAGCACUUUCAGCGAGGAGGCGUUACUCGCAGAAGAAGCACCGGCUAACUCCGUGCCAGCAGCCGCGGUAAUAC
rnacentral:rRNA from 1 species